rnacentral:rRNA from 1 species
CGAUCUUGCCAGUAGUCAUAUGCUUGUCUCAAAGAUUAAGCCAUGCAUGUCUAAGCAUGAACUAAUUCACACUAUGAAACUACGUAUGUCUCAUUAAAUGAGUUAUAGAUUUUUUUAUAGUACCAUACUACUUGGAUAACCAUAGUAACUCUAGAGCUAAUAUGUGCACUGAGUCAUGAUUGUUUGGAAGGGAUUCAUUUUUUAGAUAAAAGGUCAGCAGGCUUGCCCACUUCUCUGGUGAAGCAUGAUAACUUGACAGAUCGCACAACCCUUGUGUUGACAAUGCUUCAUUCAAAUUUUUUCCCUAUAAACUUUCAAUGGUAGGAUAGAGGCCUACCAUGGUGGUGAUGGGUGACAGGGAAUUAUGGUUUGAUUCCUAAGAGGGAGCCUGAUAAACAGCUACCACAUCCAAGGAAUGCAAUAGGUGUGGAAAUUAAUCAAUCCUAACAUGGGGCGGUAGUGACUAUAAAUAAUAAUACUAGGAUCAUCGAGUUUGGUAAUUGGAAUGAGUACAAUCUAAAUCCCUUCACGAAGAUCCAUUGGAGGGCAAGUCUGGUGCGAGUAGCCACGGUAAUUCCAGCUCCAGUAGCGUAUAUUUAAGUUGUUGCAGUUAAAAAUCUCAUAGUUGGAUCUUCGGUCGUAAAGGUCGGUUUGCCUACUCAGUGUUUGGUGGGAACAUUGUUGGUUUCUUGUCUUUAGAUCACGCUUAUUUUCUCGUGUGUGCUUGAAAGCCAUGCUUGUGCUUGUCCCACCCAUCCUUUGUUUUUAUUUCCCCCAAUGUGUUUCUGUAGGGGGUUCAGAAUCUUGUUUCUUGGGAGCCCUCUCCGAUGAUCCGUUUGGUGAGGCAUGGCUACUAUAGUUGAGGUGCUUGGGCAAUAUGAUGGAUAAAUUUAGUUUCAUUCAUAGUAGCAGUGCUCGGCUCCAUAGUUGGUUCUAUUGAAAAGGUGAUGGUGUUUUAUGUGUUGCUUGGGUGAGCUUUUUUGCUGGUGGUGGGGUCAAGGGAGUGGUUGCAUGCACGCCUGGUACCUCAAACCUUCUGUUGGGCUGGCCACACUAGAAUUGUUCGAUAUGCCCUCACGGAAGGGUUGGGUGUCCAGGUAAUGAAAAACCCCUCCCUCGUUUAGAGUUCCAUUGAGAU